rnacentral:misc_RNA from 1 species
AAGGAUCAUUAUUGAAAACAAGGGUGUCCAAUUUAACUUGGAACCCAAACUUCUCAAUUCUAACUUUGUGCAUCUGUAUUAAUGGCGAGCAACUUCGGUUGUGAGCCUUCACUUACAAAACACUAGUCUAUGAAUGUAAAAUUUUUAUAACAAAUAAAAACUUUCAACAACGGAUCUCUUGGCUCUCGCAUCGAUGAAGAACGCAGCGAAAUGCGAUACGUAAUGUGAAUUGCAGAAUUCAGUGAAUCAUCGAAUCUUUGAACGCAUCUUGCGCUCUCUGGUAUUCCGGAGAGCAUGUCUGUUUGAGUGUCAUGAAUUCUUCAACCCAAUCUUUUCUUGUAAUCGAUUGGUGUUUGGAUUCUGAGCGUUGCUGGCGUUUGCCUAGCUCGUUCGUAAUACAUUAGCAUCCCUAAUACAAGUUUGGAUUGACUUGGCGUAAUAGACUAUUCGCUAAGGAUUCGGUGGAAACAUCGAGCCAACUUCAUUAAGGAAGCUCCUAAUUUAAAAGUCUACCUUUUGAUUAGAUCUCAAAUCAGGCAGGAUUACCCGCUGAACUUAAGCAUAUCAAUAAG